rnacentral:rRNA from 1 species
CGUGGGUAACCUGCCUUAUAGUGGGGGAUAGCCUUUCGAAAGGAAGAUUAAUACCGCAUAAGAUUGUAGUAUCGCAUGAUAUAGCAAUUAAAGGAGCAAUUCGCUAUAAGAUGGACCCGCGUCGCAUUAGCUAGUUGGUGAGGUAAUGGCUCACCAAGGCGACGAUGCGUAGCCGACCUGAGAGGGUGAUCGGCCACAUUGGGACUGAGACACGGUCCAGACUCCUACCGGGAGGCAGCAUG